CUGCUGCUUGGGGUCCCGACCGCGGCCGGAGCCGCGCAACGCGGGCCGAACGCGGCGCUCCUCGGGCAGCCCCUCCUCCUUCUCCGCUCCCCGCACAGGAAAAGCGAGCCGGCCCGACCCCGCUCCCCGCCCCGCAAGAACCCACCACAGCGGCCGGGCAGCGCCGAGAUGCUGACCCUGCGGCCUCAGGACAUGGGGUGGGAGGAAGCAGCAAGGCGGAUCACAGCAGAAGCGCAGCCCCUGCAGACCCAGGGGAUUGAGCCGCAGGUGCUCCGUGAACAGGGGCCCCCCAUGAACAGGAGCCCAUCAAAAAGGCUGAAGCGUCGAUCAGAAUUUAACCCUGUCACAGCAGGGAGAGCUGUGACAGCGCUCAGCUCACCUCCACAGUUCAUAGUUGCUCCAAAUCGUUUACAAGGGAACAAGGUGGUUGCAGAAGUUGUUUGGCUUUUGAAAAGAGGAUUAUAGGUGACUUCAAGGUUAAGAAACAAAUACCAUCAAUUUUACAGGUUGUUUAUCCAGUGUUCCAUUUUUCCCUUUCUGAACUUGACAUUAAGAACUCCCACAGGCGUACAAUGGUUUGUUUUGGUGGGUUUUUUUUGCAUUUGUGUGUGGCAAUAUUAGCUUGCCAGUGUAAAAGCUGACACAUUACAACUUCCAUCUCAACAUACAGGCUGGAGGAAAUCUCAGAGAAGAACACAGAGAUGC